rnacentral:misc_RNA from 1 species
UUGGAAUAGAUUUGAAGGCUUUGAAGCAAUUCAAUCCUUUGAAAUAAAGUUUGUUGGUGUUUGAUCUGGUCACUAUCAUGUGCUAAAGGCCUCUGGUCUUGUCAUGCUAAUGAUCCUGUCAACCCAUUGCACAGAUCCUCAUCUUUGCAAAACUUACCUUUAAUGGUCUCAAAUCAGGCAAGACUACCCGCUGAACUUAA